AUUGAACGCUGGCGGCAGGCCUAACACAUGCAAGUCGAACGAGUGGCGGACGGGUGAGUAAUGUCUGGGAAACUGCCCGAUGGAGGGGGAUAACUACUGGAAACGGUAGCUAAUACCGCAUACCAUCGGAUGUGCCUAGGUCGGAUUAGCUAGUUGGUGGGGUAAAGGCCUACCAAGGCGACGAUCCGUAACUGGUCUGAGAGGAUGAUCAGUCACACUGGAACUGAGACACGGUCCAGACUCCUACGGGAGGCAGCAGUGGGGAAUAUUGGACAAUGGGCGAAAGCCUGAUCCAGCCAUGCCGCGUGUAUGAAGAAGGCCUUCGGGUUGUAAAGUACUUUCAGCGAGGAGGCGUUACUCGCAGAAGAAGCACCGGCUAACUCCGUGCCAGCAGCCGCGGUAAUAC
rnacentral:rRNA from 1 species